CCAGAAGACCAUGCUUUCUGCUUGAGGGUUGUUUCAGAGGAAGUCAUCUCACCUGCUCUUCUUGUGAGAUGCCCUCUGUUCUGUGGAAGUGGCCUGAUCCUCAUUUGGCUCCAUAGACUUGGCUUUUCAGACCUGCUGAGUCCUGUGUUAAAUGAAAUGCUACAGGUAUUGUUGAAGAGGCUUAUCUAAACCAGAUGGAGCCAAUCAACCCAGGGAGACGCUGUCCUGGUGUUGGCAGCCGCGCUCAGAAAAUAGCGCCCAAUGCAGGGCAGCCGGAAGGCCCC